rnacentral:lncRNA from 1 species
UUUUUUAUGGUGCUAGGGAUUGCAUGAUAAGCACAUGCUCUACCACUGAGCUUCACUCCCAGACCUCUCACUCUGGAUUCUAAUGAAGAAAAUUUGUUUGUGAUCUAAGGUUAAAGCCUUAGAUUUUGGAACUACUGUGGUGUAUUUUGAAGUAUUAAUAGCUAAUGUAGCAUUUACCAUGUAUGUGGUGCCAUUUUAAGCACCUUAUGUGUAUUGUCUCAGUGGACUUUUCCCAUUGUGACUGUGAUGUAGUAGAAAACAUCUGGUGAGUUUCCAUGGCUGAGCAUGUACUGACUGACAUAAAAGAGCGUUGUGGUCCCCAGUCGAAGUUUAACUUUAGUUUUCAGAACUGAUGUCCAAUAUUCUUGAUUAAUGUCAGUCACUGAAUCCUUGUAAUUUCCUUUAUCAAAAAAUUUUGACAGACUUAAACUUUUGUUGCUUGAGUGGGUCACAUUUAGAAGCACACUGACCCCACAAGCAUACAGCUCAACCAGUGAUCAGUUGGUGAAGAAAGGUGCCCAAGUAACCUCCACUAGGUCAGAAAAGAACAUUCAUAGUGACUCUGGUACCCUUCCUGCCCCCUCGAGGCACUGCCCACUCUCUGCUCCCCAAAGAUAACCAUUAUUCUAACCUGGUAUGUAUAUUUUUCUGAGUUGUCAGCUUUUUUUUUUCCCAACUUGGCAAAAUUAAUUGGAAAAUCAUCAUACUUGUUGUGCUGAGGUAUAGCUAAUGAACAGAGUAAAGCUGACCACUGCCCAGUGGAGCUCACACUGAGAUGGAAGAGACUGUAAAUCAGUCAUAGCAAGUGUUUGCUGGGUUGCAUACGAACAUGAAGGGAUCAGAGACAGGAGCAGACUUAACUGGUGAUCUGGAAAACAGUUUUUUGUUGUUCGUUUGUUACUUGAAGAGAUGCAAUAAGAGGCAAGGGUCAAAACAGCCAAUAUGUGAAUCAGUGAAGAGUUAUAUUGACUGGAAAGGUUUUGCUGUUCAGAGUAUGAACAUAGGCUCAUUUCUUUCCUUCACAAGAUAUAGGAUAUAGUAUGGUAUAUAUACUAUUUUUGUAGCUGAGUUGGAUUCAGCAAAUUUUAUAAGGUUUUAAAUCCCAGAGAAAGUCAGGUGAAAUGUACCACAAACAUUGCAAGUAAAAUGAAUGUGUUUAUCUGACAGUUAAGAGAAAUUAGAUCUUUUCCAUUCAUUUUGUUUUAACCCAGGCUGCAAAAACAUUUUUAGUUGUUUACAAGGGCCUCAAUUACAUGUAAUUUUAAGUUGAAAUGUUUUUGGAGCAUGUGAGUAUCUAGACAGAUUCCUAAGCAGGAGAAGGGACACAGGUGACAUGACAUUAAGAGAACUGGCACCUCUUAGGCCUCUGUUCCUGGUGUAACUGUCCAGGAUCAGAUUUCUUUUUGAAAGGUCUAUGCUUUAUUCUUAUAUUAAACCAACCUAGUGUGAAUUCCCUUAAUGUAUAAUUUAGAGCCAGGUGCAAUGGUGCACACCCGUAAUCUCAGCUACUGAGGCAGGAGAAUUGCAAUUUCUAGGCCAGCCUUGGUGAUUUAGUGAGAACUUGUCUCAAAAAAAUGAAAAGAAGUGAGCACUGAGCUUUUUAGUUCAGUUGUUGGUGUGGGAGGCCCCGGCAUCAAUCCCCAGUCAUGACGGGGGGAAAGUAUAAUUUUAGGAUAUGUCUAUUACAGUGGUGUAAAUACUUUGAAUAAAAGAGGAAAUACUGGUAGACAGAUUUUACUUGUAUACUAAUUUUUUUUUUUCUUUUCAUGCUUCUUCAUUAGAGAUUUGAAAGAACAAAUCAUUGUUAUUCCACUUUGGAAAGCAAGGGAUGGCAACAUGGAAAAUCUAAAGAAAAAAUGUUAAAUGAACUGACUGUUAUUUAAUGUAAAUGUGGAGGAACAUAUUCUUCAAUCAAUUUGAGAAAAUUUCUAAACCUCUUAAAGGUCACCCAAAGGACUUAAAAAGAGCAUACUACAGGGACACAGCCACAUCAGUGUUUAUAGCAGCACAAUUCACAAUAGCUCAACUGUGGAAUCAACCUAGAUGUCCUUCAGUAGAUGAAUGGAUUAAAAAAUGUGGUAUAUAUACACAAUGGACUAUUACUCAGCAAUAAAAGAGAAUAAAAUCAUGGCAUUUGUAGGUAAAUGGAUGGAGUUAGAAAAGAUAAUGCCAACUUAAGUUAGCCAAUCUCCCCAAAAAACAAAUCCGAGUGUUUUCUCUGAUAUAGGGAGGCUGAUUCAUAGUGGGGUAGGGAGAGGGAGCAUGGGAGGAAUAGAGGAACUCUAGAUAGGGCAGAGGGGUAGGAGGGGAGGGGAGGGAGCAUGGGGUUAUUAAUGAUGGUGGAAUGUGGUGAUCAUUAUUAUCCAAAGUACAGGUAUGAAGGUAUACUUUGUAUACAACCAGAGAUAUGAAAAAUUUUGCUCUAUAUGUAUAAUAAAUAUUGUAAUGCAUUCCACUGUCAUAUAUAAAUAAAAGAUCAUUUAUAAAUUCCA